UUUGACUCCUAACUGGAGGCAUGCAGUGGGGAAUAUUGGACAAUGGGGGCAACCCUGAUCCAGCCAUGCCGCGUGUGUGAAGAAGGCCUUUGGGUUGUAAAGCACUUUCAGCAGUGAAGAAGACCUUACGGUUAAUACCCAUCAGCGAUGACAUCAGUUGCAGAAUAAGCACCGGCUAACUCUGUGCCAGCAGCCGCGGUAAUACAGAGGGUGCAAGCGUUAAUCGGAAUUACUGGGCGUAAAGCGAGCGUAGGUGGCUUGAUAAGUCAGAUGUGAAAUCCCCGGGCUUAACCUGGGAACGGCAUCUGGUACUGUUAGGCUAGAGUACGUGAGAGGGAAGUAGAAUUCCAGGUGUAGCGGUGAAAUGCGUAGAGAUCUGGAGGAAUACCGAUGGCGAAGGCAGCUUCCUGGACAUGCACACUGACACUGAGGUCCGAAAGCCGACCCCCCUU
rnacentral:rRNA from 1 species